AGCAGCCGCGGUAAUUCCAGCUCCAAUAGCGUAUAUUAAAGUUGUUGCAGUUAAAAAGCUCGUAGUUGAAUUUCGAGACCGGCUUACUGGUCGUGCUAUUGUACGUACUGGUAUAAUCGGUUUCUCCUUUCUGACGAACUAUAAUGCCAUUAAUUUGGUGUUUUAGGGAAUCAGGACUGUUACUUUGAAAAAAUUAGAGUGUUUAAAGCAGGCUCACGCUUGAAUACAUUAGCAUGGAAUAACGGAAUAGGACGUUUGAUUCUAUUUUGUUGGUUCCUAGGAUCGACGUAAUGAUUAAUAGGGAUAGUUGGGGGCAUUAGUAUUCAAUUGUCAGAGGUGAAAUUCUUGGAUUUAUUGAAGGCUAACUACUGCGAAAGCAUUUGCCAAGGAUGUUUUCAUUAAUCAAGAACGAAAGUUAGGGGAUCGAAGACGAUCAGAUACCGUCGUAGUCUUAACCAUAAACUAUGCCGACUAGGGAUCGGAUGAUGUUAAUUUUUAAUGACUCAUUCGGCGCCUUACG
rnacentral:rRNA from 1 species